rnacentral:rRNA from 1 species
UGGGGAAUAUUGGACAAUGGGCGAAAGCCUGAUCCAGCCAUGCCGCGUGUGUGAAGAAGGUCUUCGGAUUGUAAAGCACUUUAAGUUGGGAGGAAGGGCAGUAAGCGAAUACCUUGCUGUUUUGACGUUACCGACAGAAUAAGCACCGGCUAACUCUGUGCCAGCAGCCGCGGUAAUACAGAGGGUGCAAGCGUUAAUCGGAAUUACUGGGCGUAAAGCCCGCGUAGGUGGUUCGUUAAGUUGAAUGUGAAAGCCCCGGGCUCAACCUGGGAACUGCAUCCCAAACUGGCGAGCUAGAGUAGGGCAGAGGGUGGUGGAAUUUCCUGUGUAGCGGUGAAAUGCGUAGAUAUAGGAAGGAACACCAGUGGCGAAGGCGACCACCUGGAAUCAUACUGACACUGAGGUGCGAAAGCGUGGGGAGCAAACAGG